UACGUAGGGGGCUAGCGUUGUCCGGAAUCAUUGGGCGUAAAGAGCGUGUAGGCGGCCGGUAAGUCCGCUGUGAAAGUCGGGGGCUCAACCCUCGAAUGCCGGUGGAUACUGUCGGGCUAGAGUGCGGAAGAGGCGAGUGGAAUUCCUGGUGUAGCGGUGAAAUGCGCAGAUAUCAGGAGGAACACCGAUGGCGAAGGCAGCUCGCUGGGACGGUACUGACGCUGGAGGCGCGAAAGCGUGGGGAGCAAACAGG
rnacentral:rRNA from 1 species